rnacentral:misc_RNA from 1 species
AACCAUUCUCACCUGCGGCUAGACCUGCGGAAGGAUCAUUACCGAGUUUACAACUCCCAAACCCCUGUGAACAUACCAAUUGUUGCCUCGGCGGAUCAGCCCGCUCCCGGUAAAACGGGACGGCCCGCCAGAGGACCCCUAAACUCUGUUUCUAUAUGUAACUUCUGAGUAAAACCAUAAAUAAAUCAAAACUUUCAGCAACGGAUCU